rnacentral:lncRNA from 1 species
GAGCCGAAGAAGUUGACGUAGAGCUCGCAAGGCGCGAUGCCAGCCGGAGGCUGUUUCAAAUCCGUCCAGGCUUUACACUCAUCCACGCCAGCACCAUCUAGAUUUAUGGGUAUGGUGUAAUUAUUAUUGGAUUAAAGACAUGUGAUACUUUUCUUUUCCCGUUGCAACGCACGAGCAUGUUUACUAGUAUAUACUAUAUAUAUAUAUCUACCUACUAAUAAACCAGCGAGCGAUUCUGGUCGUACGUCGCCGGCCUUUUUGCAAAAAAGCCCCUAUGAUUUUGGAUAUUCAACCCGCAAUCCUUGUGAUAAUUCAACCUGAACGAGUACUGGGAGAGAAAAGAAAGAAAAGAAAAAACAUAACCCAGCCACCCGCACGCCCCGGCUCAAUCUUCACCUCCAGCGCGUCCCCACCUCCUGCCACGCCCGGCCUGCCUCACUGCGCAUCGCCAGACCACCCCAACGUCGCUGCGUGCCGCUACCGCCAUCCCUGCCGGCGCACCUGCCUAAGUCAGGACAUCAACUAAAAGAGGAUGAGAUAUAUGGGUCAUCUUUGGCCAUGAGAAAUAAAGGAAGAUCCAAAAUAAGCGGCAUGCGUGAUAUGCCCAACUCGGGAGCUGACGAACAACAAGGAAGGAAACAAAAAAGGGAAAAUAGAGAGGAGCAGAGAGGGGGAGGAGAUGGACGGCGACGACUUCACGGGCAAGCUGGGCCGAGGCAGCUGCGUGGCCCACGCGACAAACGAACGGGUGAACCUCUCGGUCGUCCUGCUCCCAACGGCAGGCGGGUCAGGAGGCGGCGGAUCCGGCUGCUCUGGCGUGGAUCCGGUGGCGGCAGACGAAUUUGAGGCGGAGAAGAACGAGUCCGACGGAGAGGUGGUAGGAGGCGGCGAGCUCCAAGGCAGGGUGGCUGCGGUUGUUGUUUGACUCCCUAGAGAAAACAUGCGAGAGAGAUUAGAGAGGGAGGAUGAAAAGGGAAAUGCCGAGGAAGAGAGAGAGGAGGAGGAGACGGACGGGUAACUGGCUGUCCUGCUGGAGGAGGCUCGGGGCAGAGGAGCUCCUCUCCCGGCGGGAUUGGAGGUGGCAGGGAGGCAGCACGGGGCGGAUGCUCUCAACCAGAUAAAGAGAAAAGGGGAUUUUGCUUUGAGUAUGAAUGAGAAAGGGGAGAAGAAACGGGAUAAGAACAAGUGUGGAGCCUGCGUCAAGAUAAGAUAGACCGAGCCUUAUAGAUAAGAUAUGGGACUGUGUUUUCUAAAGAAAAAAUAGAGUUGUG